ACCCGCUGAACUUAAGCAUAUCAAUAAGCGGAGGAAAAGAAACCAACAGGGAUUGCCCUAGUAACGGCGAGUGAAGCGGCAAUAGCUCAAAUUUGAAAUCUGGUCUCCUUUGGGGGCCCGAGUUGUAAUUUGCAGAGGGCGCUUUGGCGUCGGCAGCGGUCUAAGUUCCUUGGAACAGGACGUCACAGAGGGUGAGAAUCCCGUACGUGGUCGCCUGCCUUCGCCGAGUAAAGCCCCUUCGACGAGUCGAGUUGUUUGGGAAUGCAGCUUUAAAUGGGAGGUAAAUUUCUUCUAAAGCUAAUUACUGGCCAGAGACCGAUAGCGCACAAGUAGAGUGAUCGAAAGAUGAAAAGCACUUUGGAAAGAGAGUCAAACAGCACGUGAAAUUGUUGAAAGGGAAGCGCUUGCAGCCAGACGUGCCCGUGGUGGUUCUCCGCCGCGGGCAGGCCAGCAUCAGUUCGAGCGGUCGGAUAAAGGCCUCUGUCACGUAUCUGCCCUCGGGCAGACCUUAUAGCGGAGGCGUAAUGCGAUCAGUCUUGGACUGAGGUCCGCGCAUCUGGUAAGAUGCUGGCGUAAUGGCUGUAAUGGGCCCGUCUUGAAACACGGACC
rnacentral:rRNA from 1 species